CCUACGGGGGGCUGCAGUGAGGAAUAUUGGUCAAUGGGCGUAAGCCUGAACCAGCCAAGUCGCGUGAGGGAUGAAGGUUCUAUGGAUCGUAAACCUCUUUUAUAAGGGAAUAAAGUGUGGGACGUGUCCUAUUUUGUAUGUACCUUAUGAAUAAGGAUCGGCUAACUCCGUGCCAGCAGCCGCGGUAAUACGGAGGAUCCGAGCUUUAUCCGGAUUUAUUGGGUUUAAGGGGUGCGUAGGCGGCCUUUUAAGUCAGCGGUGAAAGUCUGUGGCUCAACCAUAGAAUUGCCGUUGACACUGGGGGGCUUGAGUAUGUUUGAGGCAGGUGGAAUGCGAGGUGUAGCGGUGAAAUGCUUAGAGAUGACGCAGAACCCCGAUGGCGAAGGCAGCCUGCCAAGCAAUGACUGACGCUGAUGCACGAAAGCGUGGGGAUCAAACAGGAUUAGAUACCCUUGUAGUC
rnacentral:rRNA from 1 species